rnacentral:rRNA from 1 species
GAUGAACGCUGGCGGCGUGCCUAAUACAUGCAAGUCGAGCGAACAGACGAGGAGCUUGCUCCUCUGACGUUAGCGGCGGACGGGUGAGUAACACGUGGAUAACCUACCUAUAAGACUGGGAUAACUUCGGGAAACCGGAGCUAAUACCGGAUAAUAUAUUGAACCGCAUGGUUCAAUAGUGAAAGACGGUUUUGCUGUCACUUAUAGAUGGAUCCGCGCCGCAUUAGCUAGUUGGUAAGGUAACGGCUUACCAAGGCAACGAUGCGUAGCCGACCUGAGAGGGUGAUCGGCCACGCUGGAACUGAGACACGGUCCAGACUCCGAAGGGAGGCAGCAGUAGGGAAUCUUCCGCAAUGGGCGAAAGCCUGACGGAGCAACGCGGCGUGAGUGAUGAAGGUCUUCGGAUCGUAAAACUCUGUUAUUAGGGAAGAACAAAUGUGUAAGUAACUAUGCACGUCUUGACGGUACCGAAUCAGAAAGCCACGGCUAACUACGG